AGCUGGUAAAACAUUAUUUCUAGGUGAAUGAUGUUGCAGUCUACCUACAUUGAGUGAACAUGGAUUUGGUAAACAAGUAUCAGCAGGCAGGACAAUAUAGCUCCACUGAAAGGAAGGUCGAGCUGCUGAACCUCCACAGUACCAUACAGAAGGGAAGAUUCCUAGGACUUGUGGCUUAAUUUCUCUGGCUACCGCACUAAUCGCACGCAUCCCAUAAUUACUGUCUUUCUUUCUUCCUCCAGACUGUCAUUCUUCUGUCUCUUAGCUCCAUCCCACAGGCAGACAGUGUCUAUACAAAGGCUGAGCUAGUUAGCCAGCCACCUGAGGGAACGCUGUGCCUCCACCACGCUCCCCCGUGCCUUUUUUUCCUCUUUUUUCCCCUUCACUUGUCACCCCUCCCAGCCUCCUU